UGCUGCUGAUGAUUAGUGUGAACCUUUCUCAAUGAAUCACUAGUGAUUACAUAACCUACUGCCUUCCUUCUGAGGCA
rfam:Triticum aestivum genome assembly, contig: Triticum_aestivum_CS42_TGACv1_scaffold_002590_1AL